CGCCAUCUUGAGCGAGUUACAAAGCCAGGACCGGCCUCAGCCGCAAUCCGACUGGGAGGCGGCGGGAGACAAAUGUGGAGCCCGCAAGGCCCCUCCCACUUCCGGGGCGGAGCGCGCUGGUGACCCCGCCCACUCACUUCCGCCUCCCGGCGCUGUGGAAUUGCGAGUGUAGGGAAGCUUGAGGGCCCCAAGUUUGAAGCCGGGUGCCAUGGGCGUUGGUGACCCAAAAAUGUGCACUUGAGGUGCUUGACCAGUCUGGAGAUGAAUUACACUGAAGAAAGCCAUCACGUGCCCACCAGUGUCAAGCUAUUUGCUGGCUGCUCAUCGAUGCCAGACGCCGAAGGAACUGAAGAUACAGGCUCUGUCUUUUCCACAAAAGGGCGCUUACCUUGGACCAGUGAUCGGCUACUACGUUAUCCAGUGCUUUCAUACGGCCACAAUGGGAAAGUGCCUCGCUGUGAGGUGUUGAAAGAAGCAAGGCCAGGGAGUUUGGAUCUCGAAGACGGGCUCCCAUAUAUUUGUUAAAUAAACCAACAAACGACUUGAGUAGGACUUCGCCAGGUGAAAGAGGAGGAGAAAAUAGUAUCAAGUGGAUGAAACAACACAUGUAAGAAAUGCAGGAGAGGGACUUCCCAGGUGGCGCAGUAGUUAAGAAUCCGCCUGCUAAUGCAGGGAACACGGGUUCGAGACCUGGUCCGAGAAUAUCCCACAUGACGCGGAGCAACUAAGCCCAUGUGCCACAGUUACCGAGCCUUCGCUCUAGAGCCUGUGAGCCACAACUACUGAGCCCGCGAGUCACAGCUACUAGAGCCCAUGCGCCUAGAGCCAGUGCUCCGCAACAAGAGAAGCCACCGCAAUGAGAAGCCUGCGCACCGCAACGAAGAGUAGCCCCCGCUCGCCGCAACUAGAGAAAGCCCUUGCGCAGCAACAAAGACCCAAAGCAGCCAAAAAUAAAUAAAUAAAUAAAUAAAUUUAUAUUAAAAAAAAAAAAGAAAUGCAGGAGAUGAGAAACCCCGAGUGGUUGGAGGAGACAGGAGAGGUAGCUGAGGCCUUCAGGAGGAUAGAAAACCCCAUCAGGCCCCAAGAGUCAUAAUUACAAUUUCAAUUUAGGGUAAAAUGUUAAGCAACUUCUUUUUCUAAAGCUGAAACAUUGAAGGGCGAGUUUCUCCUUAAUAUUCUACCUCCCAUCUGCUUCUGGUUGACUCUGGGGGGAAAACUCAGGAUGGCACAGACGCUUGUUCACCAGAUAAGGGGGAGCCCCGGCUGUCUCCCCUACCCUCACUUUAAAUUCACAGUAUUUUUUGGUUUUGUUUUAAAAUUUUAUUGUGGUAUUAUAUACAAAACAUAAAAUUUAUCAUUUUAACCCUUGAGUGUACAAUUCAGUGACAUUAAUGACAUUCACAUUGUUGUGCAACCGUCACCACCAUCCACCUCCAGAACUUUCUCCUCAUCCCAAACUGAAAUUCUGUACCCAUUAAACACUAACUCCUCAGUCCUUUCUCCCCCAGCCCCUGGCCACCACCAUUCUAUU